rnacentral:rRNA from 1 species
UUCAAUUGGAGAGUUUGAUCCUGGCUCAGAAUGAACGCUGGCGGCGUGCUUAACACAUGCAAGUCGCACGAGAACGCUUCAGCUUGCUGAAGUUAGUAAAGUGGCGCACGGGUGAGUAACGCGUGGG